rnacentral:rRNA from 1 species
GAUGAACGCUAGCUACAGGCUUAACACAUGCAAGUCGAGGGGCAGCAUGAACAAAGCUUGCUUUGUUUGAUGGCGACCGGCGCACGGGUGCGUAACACGUAUCCAAUCUGCCCGCGGCUCGGGGAUAGCCCAUCGAAAGAUGGAUUAAUACCCGAUGGCGUGGUCACCCCGCAUGGGGUUUCCACUAAAGGUUUUCCGGCCGCGGAUGAGGAUGCGUAUGAUUAGGCAGUAGGCGGGGUAACGGCCCACCUAGCCUUCGAUCAUUAGGGGUUCUGAGAGGAAGGUCCCCCACACUGGAACUGAGACACGGUCCAGACUCCUACGGGAGGCAGCAGUGAGGAAUAUUGGUCAAUGGGCGAGAGCCUGAACCAGCCAAGUAGCGUGAAGGAAGACUGCCCUAUGGGUUGUAAACUUCUUUUGUUCGGGAAUAAAGUGCAGUAUGUAUACUGUUUUGUAUGUACCGUUCGAAUAAGCAUCGGCUAAUUCCGUGCCAGCAGCCGCUGUAACAC